UUUCCCCCCUGGACGAAGACUGACGCUCAGGUGCGAAAGCGUGGGGAGCAAACAGGAUUAGAUACCCUGGUAGUCCACGCCGUAAACGAUGUCGACUUGGAGGUUGUGCCCUUGAGGCGUGGCUUCCGGAGCUAACGCGUUAAGUCGACCGCCUGGGGAGUACGGCCGCAAGGUUAAAACUCAAAUGAAUUGACGGGGGCCCGCACAAGCGGUGGAGCAUGUGGUUUAAUUCGAUGCAACGCGAAGAACCUUACCUGGUCUUGACAUCCACAGAACUUUCCAGAGAUGGAUUGGUGCCUUCGGGAACUGUGAGACAGGUGCUGCAUGGCUGUCGUCAGCUCGUGUUGUGAAAUGUUGGGUUAAGUCUGCACCGAUGCAAU
rnacentral:rRNA from 1 species